GACGAACCGUGCGAACGUUGUUCGGAAUCACUGGGCUUAAAGGGCGCGUAGGCGGACUGGCAAGUCAGGGGUGAAAUCCCACGGCUCAACCGUGGAAGUGCCUUUGAUACUGCUGGUCUUGAGGGAGGUAGGGGCGUGCGGAACUUCCGGUGGAGCGGUGAAAUGCGUAGAUAUCGGAAGGAACACCGGUGGCGAAAGCGGCGCGCUGGACCUCUACUGACGCUGAGGCGCGAAAGCCAGGGGAGCAAACGGG
rnacentral:rRNA from 1 species